rnacentral:tRNA from 1 species
GUUUGUGUAGCUUAUAUUAUAAAGUGUAGCAUUGAAGUUGCUAAGAAAAUAGUUUUUUAUAAGCG